rnacentral:tRNA from 1 species
AAUCAUCUAUUAUAAAUAAUAUUUUUAUUUUAGUGUUAAAAGUUAAUUGAUUACUU